rnacentral:lncRNA from 1 species
CAGGAAUAGACUCAGCCAUUACUUGAGGGUUGUUUCCUCCUCCUAAUUCAUUCAGGUUGGUGGUGCACUUCAAUACCCUGUGAUUGUGCAACGAUGGUCCUGAUUUUCUCGCUGGCUGUCCUGUAAAUUGCCCUUGUGGGUUAGGAUUCCAACAUAUGAAUUUUGAGAGGACACAAACAUUUAAAGCAGGGCACAAAGCAUUCUCUACAACGUGUUUCCUGGUCAUAGGUGGAAGUCCACAGUCUCCGUGCCUACACAGACACACAGGCACAAUGGCCUCCAGAGGCUGGCUGGCAGGCAGUGGGGUCUCUGAGAAUAGCAUUUACUGGAAAAGAUUAUUGGAGUGAAGAAGAAAUUGCUCUGGCUCUCAUUCAACACGGCAGUGACAGAAUCAUGGAGUUUUAGCAUCUUUUUAAGCAGGCCACACGGACCCGUUGGAGAGCUGAUCAAAUAUCCAGG